rnacentral:tRNA from 1 species
GGAGGGGUCGGAUAGCGGCUUAUUCCAGCGGUUUUGAAAACCGCCGUCCUCACGGACUCGUGGGUUCGAAUCCCACCCCCUCCGCAA